UCCCCGAACCGGUGAGAAUGCCCUCAACAUCAACAUAGAUCAAGAGGAGCAGGCAUUAAGCACACUAAUCAUGUAGCUCAAGAUGCCUUGCUUAACCACACCCCCAAGGGAAACAGCAGUGAUAGAAAUUUAGCAAUAAACGCAAGUUUGACUAAGUUAUGCUACUCUAGGGUUGGUAAAUUUCGUGCCAGCCACCGCGGUCAUACGAUUAACCCAAACUAAUAAAUUUCCGGCGUAAAGCGUGAUUAGAGAUAAACAAAAAUAAAAUCAAAUAAUAACUAAGCUGUAAAAAGUAAUAGUUAAAAACAAAAAUAAACAACGAAAGUGAUUUUACAACCUUCGAACUCACGAUAGCUAAGACCCAAACUGGGAUUAGAUACCCCACUAUGCUUAGCCCUAAACUUAAGUAUUUUCAUAACAAAAUUACUCGCCAGAGAACUACAAGCCAGAGCUUAAAACUCAAAGGACUUGGCGGUGCUUUAUACCCACCUAGAGGAGCCUGUUCUAUAAUCGAUAAACCCCGAUAAACCUCACCACUCUUUGCCAACUCAGCCUAUAUACCGCCAUCUUCAGCGAACCCUAAAAAGGAGCAAAAGUAAGCUCAACUAUCCCCAUAAAAACGUUAGGUCAAGGUGUAGCCUAUAGAGUGGAAAGUAAUGGGCUACAUUUUCUUCUUCAGAAUAUACGGAAGCCCUUAUGAAAUUCUAAGGGCCAAAGGAGGAUUU
rnacentral:rRNA from 1 species